AAGGCCUUAGCUUAAUUAAAGUGUCUGACUUGCAUUCAGAAGAUACAGGUUAAUAUCCUGUUGGUCUUA
rnacentral:tRNA from 1 species